rnacentral:tRNA from 1 species
UCCCUGAUAGCUCGGCUGGUAAAGAACCCACCUGCAAUGUGGGAGACCUGGGUUCGAUCCCUAGGUUGGGAA